rnacentral:lncRNA from 1 species
GUUCCAUUGUAGGCGAGCAAGAAUCUGGAAUUCCAAUUCGAUGAGCAAUUUCCUGUGACUAUGAUGCAGUGGUGAAGAAGCAUCCAGAGACGUCAGCUCAAGAGUACUAAGGAGCAUUAAUCACUGCUUACGCUGCUGUCUCAGAGGCCUAACUGAGUGGAUAUUAGUGAAGAAACUAACCUGGAAUAGCAUGUAUGGAGAGAAAUGUCUGUUCAGAGCCAGAGUCAGGUCUAAUAAAUGGAUCAGUCACACUAAAUCUCAGUUCCUUGGAAAUCUGCUUCCGAAACUGCAAACGCUCCUGACGUCCAGACCAGGAUACACAGAGAGGCCACAGUCACUAACUGGUCUGAUAUCUAACGAGCUGGGGGUUAGUCUACAAACACACACACAGCAGUCUGUGUGGCUUAUCAGAACCUGUGAUGAGUCAGUCUCUGAAGUGAUCCCACUGCACCCCGCUACAGACCGAAGUCUGAUAAGGUUCCAAGAACACAAAACACAUCUGAGGAAGAGUGAGGGAGAGAGACAGAUAGACAGAGAAAGAGAGAGAAAUAGAGGGAGAAGAAGAUGGAGGAGAGACAAAGAGAGAGAGUGAGAGAGAGAUUGGGAGAGAAAUAGGUAGAUGAAGAGGGACAAGGAGAGAAAGAGUUGAAGAGAGUAAAGGAAAGCUCAAAGAUAGAGGGAUGGAUAAAGGGAAAGCAAAAACAUGGUCUUGUCACGCCCUGACCGUAGAGAUCCUUAUUAUUCUCUAUGUUUGGUUAGGUCAGGGUGUGACUCGGGUAGGAAAAUCUAUGUUUUUUGUUUCUUUGUUUUGGGCCGAGUGUGGUUCCCAAUCAGAGGCAGCUGUCUAUCGUUGUCUCUGAUUCGGAAUCAUACUUAGGCAGCCUGUUUUCUUCCUGUGUUUGUGGGAGGUUGUUUUCUGUUUAGUGUCU